CCAAGUGUAAGCUGCAUUUAUCGACACUCGUAAAUCUCGAGGCAACAGAAUAAUGGUUCAGAUUUAAGUAUCGUAGACUAACGUUGUAUUGGAGAAGGAAUUGAUGGACAUUAAGAAACAAGAUAUUAUAUAGUUAUCGAAUAAAUCUCGACAUCCUAAUCGUCUUUGAAAUGAUUCGAAGAACAGGUGUCUCGACAACUCUAUUGCAAUCAUGGUACUAUCGACGGCGGACCUAAAAAUAAAGUCACGAGUGUCGAGCAUCUCAACUGACGCAACUCGCAGAAGCUUUUCUCAGCGAUGGAUUGUCCAUCCGAACUUCUAUAUGUCAUCAAAUAUACGUGCCUGAACGCGUUUCCGAUGGAACGUGUCGCGUAAAACGCGCACUUGGAGAAGCUCCAGGUGCGGAGGAGGAAGUACGUGUAAAUUGUGGUGAAGUAAAAAGAGAAGUUGGAUAGAUCUAGAGGCAAAACCACGUGCGUUGCUAUUUUUCACAGAAAUGAGACAGAAGCUGACUAUACGUUUUUAGAUUUAUCUAUACUAUAUAUACGCAUAUAUUAUACAUCACAUACUAUCGAAUGAAUGAAAUAUUGUCAUAUAUCUUUUUCAGUUUAGACAAUCGAAUUAGCAGGAAAUUAAAAUUACAGAGUGCUCGUAUUUCAGAAGAUACGGAUAAACACUAUCCCUAAUGGUUAUCCAGACCAGAAGGAAAGGGAAAAAGUUCCUCGGAAGUUGAGAAAGGGGAUGUUUUUUUGUUCGAUAAGGAAAACAGCGUCAUUAAGUGCAAUCCUAUUCCGUUUCGAUCGUUCGGUAAAAAAAUAAAUGUUUCGGCGAGUGUGUCAAGUAUCGUCUCGAAAAGUAUCCGGAAACGCCUGGUUCUUCUUAUAAAUCAGCGUCGGUACACUCCCUCUUUCCACGACCAUGUCAUUUAGCGAGAAGUUUUCUGCUGGAAAAAAAAGGGAAAAGCACGCGAUCGCUAUUUAAAAGGCUCGUAGGUGGGUGGCUUUUUAACCGAAGUAUAUACCGACGUAGGGAGAGGGCUUCGACUUCGCUCUUCGGCCUCAGUAUGGGGUUGCCGUGCUAUUUUCAGGCCGGUGGCUCGAUGCAGCUGUCGUGUUCUUCGGGUAAACCACCUCUCUUCUAUUCCACGGUCACUCGCGGGACAAGGUAGAACGUACAGAUUGGAAUUCUAAAUUCACGAUUCGAGAAUUCGUAAAGGAUGACGCAUCUUCGCUAAUUCUGACCAAAAUUAGACGAUAGCGAUAAAAGAAACGUAGUAUUACCGGAAGUUCGUUUUAUCGUUUUACCCAUUCUCGAAAUUGAUAUCCUUGUCAUGUUAUUUUCGUUUGUCUAACCAUUUUCCUUUGUUAUUUUCUUUUCUCGAUGUUUCUAAAACCUUCCGUUCUUUAAGAUUAAAGUUGUUCUUUCUAUUGUAGAAUCGAAACGAUAAUUAAUAAAACGCACUAAGGCUGAAUGUAUUAACAAAAAAAAUAUUUUAUUCGUCAAUGUAAGAACUACGCGAAGUUAUACUUUUGCACGGAAUAGUAAAAGGCAUCGGGAGAUAGAAAGAUAGAAACUAUGAGAACUAUUUAAUUGAUUGCCUCCAGCAAAUGUACGGGGAGAAGUGCGUGCUGAAGAAUAGAAGACGUGGAUGAAGAAGAUGACAAGAUUCGAAGAUCUUGGCAACGAGCCAGACGAGAUUUUCAGUCGUCUACGUGUACUUCCAACUUUCAUCUGUCUCCUCUUCUAGCCACCGUACACGUCCUCUAGGACCUAGGGUGCAAUGACACCGGGUUUUAGAUGACAAUUUUCUAUUUUCAGUACAUGAGUCAUUGUAUGCACAUAUCUGUUCUAUGUAAAGUUGUUGGUUUUCUAUGAAUUCUUAAAAUUCCAGAAAAGUGGCUUUACAAUAUAAGAAUCUAAAUUAUUAA